rnacentral:rRNA from 1 species
AUUGAACGCUGGCGGCAGGCCUAACACAUGCAAGUCGAACGGUAACAGGAAGAAGCUUGCUUCUUUGCUGACGAGUGGCGGACGGGUGAGUAAUGUCUGGGAAACUGCCUGAUGGAGGGGGAUAACUACUGGAAACGGUAGCUAAUACCGCAUAACGUCGCAAGACCAAAAAGGGGGACCUUCGGGCCUCUUGCCAUCGGAUGUGCCCAGAUGGGAUUAGCUAGUAGGUGGGGUAACGGCUCACCUAGGCGACGAUCCCUAGCUGGUCUGAGAGGAUGACCAGCCACACUGGAACUGAGACACGGUCCAGACUCCUACGGGAGGCAGCAGUGGGGAAUAUUGCACAAAGGGCGCAAGCCAGAUGCAGCCAUGCCGCGUGUAUGAAGAAGGCCUUCGGGUUGUAAAGUACUUUCAGCGGGGAGGAAGGGAGUAAAGUUAAUACCUUUGCUCAUUGACGUUACCCGCAGAAGAAGCACCGGCUAACUCCGUG